UACUAGCCCCGAUUGCAGUGAAAAUCCUUUUGUCUCGUUUUUUGGAACGAGAUAAAAGAUUGAAACGAAAAGCGGGAAUAGCU
rnacentral:sRNA from 1 species